CCUACGGGGGUCUGCAGUGGGGAAUAUUGCACAAUGGGGGAAACCCUGAUGUAGCGACGCCGCGUGCGUGAAGAAGUAAUUCGUUAUGUAAAGCUCUAUCAGCAGGGAAGAAAAUGCCGGUACCUGAGUCAGAAGCCGCGGCUAACUACGUGCCAGCAGCCGCGGUUAUACGUAGGGGGCAAGCGUUAUCCGGAUUUACUGGGUGUAAAGGGAGCGUAGACGGCAGGGCAAGUCUGGAGUGAAUGGCGGGGGCUCAACCCCCGGACUGCUCUGGAAACUGUACGGCUGGAGUGCAGGAGAGGUAAGUGGAAUUCCUAGUGUAGCGGUGAAAUGCGUAGAUAUUAGGAGGAACACCAGUGGCGAAGGCGGCUUACUGGACUGUAACUGACGUUGAGGCUCGAAAGCGUGGGGAGCAAACAGGAUUAGAUACCCUGGUAGUC
rnacentral:rRNA from 1 species